UUCAAAUCUCUUAAAUUUGGAUUUCCAGGUUACCUACAGAAAUGAUGUCGAACUUGAGAUGAUUUCAUGGACUCAAGGACACCUUCAUUGGUCUUCCCAAAUUUGGAGUGCACUCUUAACACUUUCUUUGACCACUUUCUCACACCUAAAGCUGUUUAAUAGGAACAGCACUUUCAACUAUCAGAGGUGAGGUGAACAUCCUGAUGGAGGACAACAAAGUCAGGGGUGUGGGUUCUCCAAAAGGGGCAUGACACUUAUGCAUUUUGACCAUUCCAAGAUUCUUUAGGGCUUUUGCCAGAGGUACAAAGAAGGAAACAGACAAACAGGAAAUUUAAAUCUCUCAAAUGGUAUUAUUUGUUUGCCUCUUUUAUAAAAUUAUGGAGAUCGGAGAUUGAAGAUUAUGCUUGCA
rnacentral:lncRNA from 1 species